rnacentral:rRNA from 1 species
UGCAGUCGACGCUUCUUUCCUCCCGAGUGCUUGCACUCAAUUGGAAAGAGGAGUGGCGGACGGGUGAGUAACACGUGGGUAACCUACCCAUCAGAGGGGGAUAACACUUGGAAACAGGUGCUAAUACCGCAUAACAGUUUAUGCCGCAUGGCAUAAGAGUGAAAGGCGCUUUCGGGUGUCGCUGAUGGAUGGACCCGCGGUGCAUUAGCUAGUUGGUGAGGUAACGGCUCACCAAGGCCACGAUGCAUAGCCGACCUGAGAGGGUGAUCGGCCACACUGGGACUGAGACACGGCCCAGACUCCUACGGGAGGCAGCAGUAGGGAAUCUUCGGCAAUGGACGAAAGUCUGACCGAGCAACGCCGCGUGAGUGAAGAAGGUUUUCGGAUCGUAAAACUCUGUUGUUAGAGAAGAACAAGGACGUUAGUAACUGAACGUCCCCUGACGGUAUCUAACCGGAAAGCCACGGCUAACUACGUGCCAGCAUCCGCGGUAAUACGUAGGUGGCAAGCGUUGUCCGGAUUUAUUGGGCGUAAAGCGAGCGCAGGCGGUUUCUUAAGUCUGAUGUGAAACCCCCCGGCUCAACCGGGGAGGGCAUUGGAACUGGGAGACUUGAGUGCAAACACGAGAGUGUAAUUCCCUGUGUAU